rnacentral:rRNA from 1 species
AUUGAACGCUGGCGGCAGGCUUAACACAUGCAAGUCGAGCGGGGGAAGGUAGCUUGCUACUGGACCUAGCGGCGGACGGGUGGGUAAUGCUUAGGAAUCUGCCUAUUAGUGGGGGACAACAUCUCGAAAGGGAUGCUAAUACCGCAUACGUCCUACGGGAGAAAGCAGGGGAUCACUUGUGACCUUGCGCUAAUAGAUGAGCCUAAGUCGGAUUAGCUAGUUGGUGGGGUAAAGGCCUACCAAGGCGACGAUCUGUAGCGGGUCUGAGAGGAUGAGCCGCCACACAGGGACUGAGACACGGCCCAGACUCCUACGGGAGGCAGCAGUGGGGAAUAUUGGACAAUGGGGGGAACCCUGAUCUAGCCAUGCCGCGUGUGUGAAGAAGGCCUUAUGGUUGUAAAGCACUUUAAGCGAGGAGGAGGCUCUUUUGGUUAAUACCCAAGAUGAGUGGACGUUACUCGCAGAAUAAGCACCGGCUAACUCUGUGCCAGCAGCCGCGGUAA